rnacentral:rRNA from 1 species
CGUAGGUGGCAAGCGUUGUCCGGAAUUAUUGGGCGUAAAGCGCGCGCAGGUGGUUCCUUAAGUCUGAUGUGAAAGCCCACGGCUCAACCGUGGAGGGUCAUUGGAAACUGGGGAACUUGAGUGCAGAAGAGGAAAGUGGAAUUCCAAGUGUAGCGGUGAAAUGCGUAGAGAUUUGGAGGAACACCAGUGGCGAAGGCGACUUUCUGGUCUGUAACUGACACUGAGGCGCGAAAGCGUGGGGAGCGAACAGGAUU